rnacentral:rRNA from 1 species
UCUGACUGGCGCCGAUACUCUGGCAACAGAGCGCCGGAUGCCGGAAAGUUGGUCAAACUUGAUCAUUUAGAGGAAGUAAAAGUCGUAACAAGGUUUCCGUAGGUGAACCUGCGGAAGGAUCAUUACCGAUACAAUCCAAGAACAACUCCGUUGUUUGCUCUGUGAACUGUACCUAACCAUUAGGGGUCGGCCAGGCCGUUAAAUGGCGGUCGGACGCGAGACAGCAAAUCGCGGCCGCUCCGCCAGCCCCGCCAGUGUUUUUCACAACGUACGUGUCUAGUGUCUGAUGGUACGGCGGUGGUCGCCGAGAGCUUGAAAAAAUGCAAGAGACAACUUUUGACGGUGGAUCUCUUGGCUCACGCAUCGAUGAAGAACGCAGCCAGCUGCGAUAAGUAGUGUGAAUUGCAGAAUUCAGUGAAUCAUCGAAUCUUUGAACGCAAAUGGCGCUCUUGGGUUCUCCCAGGAGCAUGUCUGUCUGAGUGUCGGAUAUCAUCCAUCGCGUGCACGCUUGCCGUGCUUGCGGCGUUGAGGCGUCACGGCCACCACUGGCCGUGUCCCUUGAAAGACAGAGAGACUCGCUGUGGCUCGUGGGUUUCCCUGCAGCACACCGGCGGAGGCUAAAAGUCUUGCUUGUCCUUCGCGUGCUGGCCGGGUCCCCGCCGCGGCAGUCGCAGAGGCGAACCGACGCUAGUCGGUGCACUUUCUUGACCUCAGAUCAGGCAAGGCUACCCGCUGAAUUUAAGCAUAUUAAUAAGCGGAGGAAAAGAAACUAACAAGGAUUCCCCCAGUAACGGCGAGUGAAGCGGGAAGAGCUCAAAUUUGAAAUCUCCGAUGCUUGCAUCGGCGAAUUGUAGUUGCGAGAAGCACUUUCUAGGCGGAUCGGUGGUGC